UUGAUUUCAAACUAUCGCCACUUGAUGACAUUUGCAGUGUGGUGAUGUAAAGUUCCCCACUGCUAUGCUCUAGUCAUGAGGAGAACUACUACACAAUAUGAAGCUACAUUUCUUGGUUUAUUAUUUCAUAUCUAAUUUUUUUAUAUAGAAAUCGACCUCGUUACAUUGCACUACACACUUUAUAAAAUGAUAAUACAAUUGAGAAUGGAAAUGGGAAAUGUGUCAAAGAGACAACAUCCCGACCAUAGCAGAAAACAGUCAAUGGCCACCAAUGAGUCUUCAACACAGCGAUAAUAUCCCGCACCCAGAUGCGAGCUUCAAUAUCCCAAACAACUCAAAUUUUAUUUUAUUUCUUUGUGUUCUGUGUAUUUUCUCUGAUAACUCUGACUUAAUUAUUCUUUCUCGCAUGCCUUACUCAUUGGAAAGUGGGUCUCAUUGGGGUCUAAGCGUGACGCGGGAUUGCCGAUUUUUCGUAAACGUGAUACGUAAAAGUCAAAUUAUUGUGCCCGUGAAAACGAGAAAUGAGGUCUUGCGGGACAUGGGAAAUUACAAAAAAAUCAGAAUUGCUUACGUACAUAGUGUUAGCGGGAUACUGGAAUCUGACAAAACACUAAGCGGGAUCAGGGAUCCGAACCCCCCAAUGAAACACCCUGGAAAACAUAAUCAUAGCUUAGCAAUUUCUUUGAAGUCUUUUCUUUAAAAUAUAACGUAAAGAUAAGGUAAAGAGUAAAUUGAGACUGUAGAUAAAUAAAUAUAUAUAUAAGACAAAGGAAAGAACUGACAACACCAAAAGAAAAGGAAAUAACAGACAACAACAAAAGACAAAAGAAAGAACUGACAACACCAAAAGACAAGGGAAAGAACUGACAACACCAAAAGACAAAUGAAAGAACUGACAACAACAAAAGACAAAUGAAAGAACUGACACAACAAAAGAACAAAA
rnacentral:lncRNA from 1 species